GACGAACGCUGGCGGCGUGCUUAACACAUGCAAGUCGAGCGGUAAGGCCCUUUCGGGGGUACGACGAGCGGCGAACGGGUGAGUAACACGUGGGUGACCUGCCCUCAGCUCUGGGAUAAGCCUGGGAAACCGGGUCUAAUACUGGAUAUGACUCCAUGACGCAUGUUGUGGGGUGGAAAGCCUUGUGCGGCUGAGGAUGGGCCCGCGGCCUAUCAGCUUGUUGGUGGGGUGAGGCCUACCAAGGCGACGACGGGUA
rnacentral:rRNA from 1 species